UUAAAUUGAAGAGUUUGAUCAUGGCUCAGAUUGAACGCUGGCGGCAGGCCUAACACAUGCAAGUCGAACGGUAACAGGAAACAGCUUGCUGUUUCGCUGACGAGUGGCGGACGGGUGAGUAAUGUCUGGGAAACUGCCUGAUGGAGGGGGAUAACUACUGGAAACGGUAGCUAAUACCGCAUAACGUCGCAAGACCAAAGAGGGGGACCUUCGGGCCUCUUGCCAUCAGAUGUGCCCAGAUGGGAUUAGCUAGUAGGUGGGGUAACGGCUCACCUAGGCGACGAUCCCUAGCUGGUCUGAGAGGAUGACCAGCCACACUGGAACUGAGACACGGUCCAGACUCCUACGGGAGGCAGCAGUGGGGAAUAUUGCACAAUGGGCGCAAGCCUGAUGCAGCCAUGCCGCGUGUAUGAAGAAGGCCUUCGGGUUGUAAAGUGCUUUCAGCGGGGAGGAAGGGAGUAAAGUUAAUACCUUUGCUCAUUGACGUUACCCGCAGAAGAAGCACCGGCUAACUCCGUGCCAGCAGCCGCGGUAAUACGGAGGGUGCAAGCGUUAAUCGGAAUUACUGGGCGUAAAGCGCACGCAGGCGGUUUGUUAAGUCAGAUGUGAAAUCCCCGGGCUCAACCUGGGAACUGCAUCUGAUACUGGCAAGCUUGAGUCUCGUAGAGGGGGGUAGAAUUCCAGGUGUAGCGGUGAAAUGCGUAGAGAUCUGGAGGAAUACCGGUGGCGAAGGCGGCCCCCUGGACGAAGACUGACGCUCAGGUGCGAAAGCGUGGGGAGCAAACAGGAUUAGAUACCCUGGUAGUCCACGCCGUAAACGAUGUCGACUUGGAGGUUGUGCCCUUGAGGCGUGGCUUCCGGAGCUAACGCGUUAAGUCGACCGCCUGGGGAGUACGGCCGCAAGGUUAAAACUCAAAUGAAUUGACGGGGGCCCGCACAAGCGGUGGAGCAUGUGGUUUAAUUCGAUGCAACGCGAAGAACCUUACCUGGUCUUGACAUCCACGGAAGUUUUCAGAGAUGAGAAUGUGCCUUCGGGAACCGUGAGACAGGUGCUGCAUGGCUGUCGUCAGCUCGUGUUGUGAAAUGUUGGGUUAAGUCCCGCAACGAGCGCAACCCUUAUCCUUUGUUGCCAGCGGUCCGGCCGGGAACUCAAAGGAGACUGCCAGUGAUAAACUGGAGGAAGGUGGGGAUGACGUCAAGUCAUCAUGGCCCUUACGACCAGGGCUACACACGUGCUACAAUGGCGCAUACAAAGAGAAGCGACCUCGCGAGAGCAAGCGGACCUCAUAAAGUGCGUCGUAGUCCGGAUUGGAGUCUGCAACUCGACUCCAUGAAGUCGGAAUCGCUAGUAAUCGUGGAUCAGAAUGCCACGGUGAAUACGUUCCCGGGCCUUGUACACACCGCCCGUCACACCAUGGGAGUGGGUUGCAAAAGAAGUAGGUAGCUUAACCUUCGGGAGGGCGCUUACCACUUUGUGAUUCAUGACUGGGGUGAAGUCGUAACAAGGUAACCGUAGGGGAACCUGCGGUUGGAUCACCUCCUUACCUUAAAGAAGC
rnacentral:rRNA from 1 species